UUGACAGAUUUCUCAUGUAAAUACACACUCCCUCCCCCCAGAUACCACUGUAUUGAGACCUUAUCUCCUUAGGACUGGUGUAAGUGCACUAGUUGUUCAGCAGCACCAGUUGAUAAGGUUUAAUAUAAAUAAAUCUUGAAGUCUUAUAGCUGCAGGCUGCAUUCCUGUCCUACAGAAGUUUCAGCCACUGUUCUUUCUGAAGGGGAAAAUGUCAUUUUAAGUUUGGUUUGGUUUGGGGGUUUUUUCUGGGUUCCUGGCACACCUGGAAUGUCUUUCACAGUGUCUAGCAAAGUUUAGGUCUUCAAAACUUGGAGACUUAAGUGUACUUACAUGUCAUGAAAAUACCUCUCCUCAGUUAGACAGAAGAUUCCUUUUCCAAGGCAGUAGUUUGAUGCCAGUGUGGUGAUGUUCUCUCCACAGGGUGUCUUCAAUAUGUUGACAGGAAAAUAUUUCGGACGUCUCAGCACUGCCUCAUUUGACAAAUGAAAAAUACCUCUUCAAGUAUCUCCUUCUGCACCUAACAGAGACUGCCUGAAUGUUUCCAACCUCAGUGCAAAGGGGCCAUCAGGCUUCUGUGUAUUCUACCAUCACAUGCUUCAAAAAUGAUAGUAGUGCAAGAGAAGUAAUGCCCUGAAAAGAACCAUCUUAAUGUGGCAUUGUUUCAGACUUAAUGAGUGAAGAAAUGGUUUUGUUUAGCUCUGGAGGUAUAUUGGCACAUAAAGCUGUAUAAACAGAGCAUCACCUUUUAAAAGAUCAAAGUUUUGCUUCUUGCUAAAAAGAUUUCAGCAACAGCUGUCAGCAGCGAGCAGAGUUCAGGCUCUGGUGUAUCUGCUGUGCCACUGGGACCAUGUACAGAGAAAAUCCUUUGAAACUCCCACUGCAACCUUCUGCUUCCAGACCUGUAUAGGACAGAGAGGGAGUAACAGUGCUCAGGAGCAAGUGGCCAUGAAAUGGCAUCUGGUUGAACUUCCCCGUCCCAGGCUGAGCUGCCAUACAUCAUGUGUUGCUGCCUUUGAUUUAAUGUUUCCCUUUGCAAGCACUCUGUGUUUGAGCAGCAAGGGAUAAAGAUCAGGUUGGAAGCAUUAAUAGAAGAGCUGGGGAACCUUGAAGCCAAGUGCAAAUGCUGUCAUCUUGCAAAUCUUGAGGGUGAAGAGUAGCUCUCCUUUAGUCCGCCUGUGUCACGUCACUGGACAGCCUGGCCUGGGUUUGGCCUGUGAAUGUGUCAUCCUUGGUGCCAGCAGUGAUACAGACACAAGUGUGUCUUCCAAAGCCACCAACACGUGGACCAGCUCAGAGAAAGCACUAACACUUUUGUGAGAGCGAGGACAAUGAGCAGUUUGGUUUCUAAUGUAAAGUAGAGGCCUCAUAUUGCGCAUUAAUAAAUAUUUGGCAGGAAUGAAACUCUAAAGCCGAUGCCUUGGAGAAAAGGGUUUUAAAAGCACGACUGUACUUUCCCUGGGCUGUUCUGAAGAAAAAGCUGUACUGUAAAGAAAACCCCAACUCUUGGCUGUACAAAUACAUGAGCUGUUUUGCUGU